GGUAAAUAUCUUCAUGCAAUUCAACAAAAUGUCACAAAAUGUUCCUCAGUUAUGGAGAUUUGCUGCUUUUCCUCCACACAGGUUCACAUUUUCAUAUCUUGCAUGCUUUUAAGUGACAUAUUUAUCAAAUAAACAACCCAAGUUCCU